AGUGAACGCUGGCGGUAGGCCUAACACAUGCAAGUCGAACGGCAGCACAGUAAGAGCUUGCUCUUACGGGUGGCGAGUGGCGGACGGGUGAGGAAUACAUCGGAAUCUACUUUUUCGUGGGGGAUAACGUAGGGAAACUUACGCUAAUACCGCAUACGACCUACGGGUGAAAGCAGGGGAUCUUCGGACCUUGCGCGAUUGAAUGAGCCGAUGUCGGAUUAGCUAGUUGGCGGGGUAAAGGCCCACCAAGGCGACGAUCCGUAGCUGGUCUGAGAGGAUGAUCAGCCACACUGGAACUGAGACACGGUCCAGACUCCUACGGGAGGCAGCAGUGGGGAAUAUUGUACAAUGGGCGAAAGCCUGAUCCAGCCAUACCGCGUGGGUGAAGAAGGCCUUCGGGUUGUAAAGCCCUUUUGUUGGGAAAGAAAAGCAGCAGGUUAAUACCCCGCUGUUCUGACGGUACCCAAAGAAUAAGCACCGACUAACUUCGUG
rnacentral:rRNA from 1 species